AUGUGGCGGCUAAGGAUCGGAGAGGAGGCCGGCGGCGAGCCGUGGCUGCGCACCACCAACGCGCACGCCGGCCGCCAGGUCUGGGAGUUCGACCCCGCUGCCGGCGGCGGCGCCCUGGACGGCGUCGACGACGCGCGCCGCGAGUACUCCGGCCGCCGGCACCAGCUCAAGCACAGCGCCGACCGCCUCAUGCGAUUGCAGGGGCAACGGAAACCACGCAGCGGAACGCAAGGCGCCCGACUGGGCCGGCCAUGGACGAGAGUAGAAUCAAUUCGGAUUAGAGGGGAACCCACGGCCCAUUUCUGUACCUCCGUUCCGCUGCGGCUCUGCCGGAGCCGCCGCGGCUCUGCACUCCCACGGCGGCGGCGAGAUGACGAACCCCGGAGAAGGCUCUACGUGCUCGCAGCGGACGGUCCCCUCCACGGAUUCUGGGCCCUGUCUCACCAGCGCUUCGCCGAGUUGGGUGCUCCCAAGCUGGACGUUCCUGGUAUCAAGCUCCAAGAGCAUGAAGAUGUCACCGAAGAAGCUGUUUUGACCUCUUUAAAGAGGGCAAUUGGACAGUUGUCUGCUCUCCAAGCACAUGAUGGACACUGGCCUGGGGAUAUCGCCGGUCCUAUGUUCCUUCUGCCGGGCUUGGUAAUAGCGCUGCAUUCGACUGGUGCUCUAAAUACUGUCUUAUCGUCAGAGCAUCAGAAGGAGAUACGUCGGUAUCUCUACAAUCAUCAGAACAAAGAUGGAGGCUGGGGAUUGCACAUUGAGGGCCCAAGCACCAUGUUCGGUUCUGUCCUGAACUAUGUUACCUUGAGAUUACUUGGAGAAGGAUCAGAUAGUGAAGAUGGAGCCAUUCAGUUAGCUCAGAAUUGGAUUUUGGAUCAUGGAGGAGCAACCUUUACAACAUCAUGGGGAAAGUUUUGGCUUUCGGUUCUUGGUGUAUUUGACUGGUCUGGUAACAAUCCAUUGCUUCCAGAACUAUGGUUACUUCCAUACUGCCUCCCAUUUCAUCCAGGGCGCAUGUGGUCCCAUUGCCGAAUGGUAUACUUUCCCAUGUCUUACAUAUAUGGAAAGAGGUUUGUCGGCCCAAUUACACCAACUGUAUUGAACUUACGGAAGGAGCUCUAUAAAGUACCCUAUGAUGAGAUUGAUUGGGACAAGGCUCGCAACCAAUGUGCUAAGGAGGAUCUGUACUGUCCUCAUCCACUGGGACAAGAUAUCUUAUGGACCACUCUUCACAAAUUUGUUGAACCAGUUCUGUCACAUUGGCCUGGAAGCAAAUUGAGGGAGAAAGCUUUGAAAAAUGCCAUGCAACAUAUUCAUUACGAAGAUGAGAACACCCAAUAUGUUUGCAGUGGUGCUGUAGGGAAGGUACUGAAUAUGCUUUGUUGCUGGAUAGAAGAUCCUAACUCAGAGGAAUUCAAACUUCAUAUUCCAAGGAUCUAUGAUUAUUUGUGGGUUGCUGAAGAUGGCAUGAAGAUGCAGGGUUAUAAUGGCAGCCAGCUUUGGGACACAGCUUUUACAGUUGAAGCUAUACUGGCUACGGAACUCACAGAAGAGUUCUGUCCUACUCUUAAACUAGCCCAUGACUACAUAAAAAAUUCACAGAUUCUUCACGACUGCCAUGGAGAUUUGAGUGACUGGUAUCGUCAUAUAUCUAAAGGUGCAUGGACCUUUUCAACCGCUGAUCAUGCUUGGCCUGUAUCAGAUUGCACUGCAGUAGGAUUAAAGGCCUCAUUGUUGUUGUCAAAGAUUUCUCCGGAAAUGGUUGGCGUACCAAUAGAAGCCAAUAGACUUUAUGAUGCUGUCAAUUGUCUGCUUUCUUGGAUGAACGGAAAUGGUGGCUUUGCAUCAUAUGAACUCACCAGGUCUUAUGCCUGGCUGGAGUUUCUCAAUCCUUCUGAGAUCUUUGGGGACAUAAUGAUUGAUCAUCCUGUUGUUGAAUGUACUUCGGCAGUGAUCCAGGCCCUGGUUGCAUUCAGAAAGCACUACCCUGAGCAUCGAAGGGAGGAGAUUGACAAAUGCAUCCAUAAAGCCGAUAACUUCAUUCUGAGUAUUCAAAGGAGUGACGGCUCAUGGUAUGGCUCCUGGGGUAUUUGUUUCACCCAUGGGGCGUGGUCUGCAGUGAGGGGAUUGGUCGCUGCUGGAAGGACAUUCAAGAACUGUCCGGCUAUCAGGAAGGCAUGCGGCUUCUUGUUGUCGAAAGAGGUUCCUUCUGGUGGCUGGGGAGAAAGCUAUUUGUCAUGCAGGGAUAAGGUUUACACUGAACUUGAAGGAAGGCGCCCCCAUGUAGUCAACACCAGUUGGGCCAUGCUGGCCCUAAUUGAUGCUGGGCAGGCCGAGAGAGACCCAGGGCCUCUGCACCGGGCAGCGAAGGUCUUGAUCAACCUACAACUAGAGGAUGGAGAGUUCCCUCAGCAAGAGAUCAUCGGCAUCUUUGCCAGGAACUGCGCCAUCACCUACUCCCAGUAUCGGAACAUCUUCCCUAUCUGGGCGCUUGGAGAGUACCGCUGCCGCGUCCUGGGCAGCGGAUCGCCAGAGGGACAUGGCGAUGCCUAG
rnacentral:rRNA from 1 species